CAAAAAAAAAACACUUGGAUAACCUACCUAUAAGACUGGGAUAACUUCGGGAAACCGGAGCUAAUACCGGAUAAUAUAUUUAACCGCAUGGUUCAAUAGUUAAAGACGGUUUUGCUGUCACUUAUAUAUUGAUCCGCGCCGCAUUAGCUAGUUGGUACGGUAACGGCUUACCAAGGCGAUGAUGCGGAGCCGACCUGAGAGUGUGAUCGGGCAAACUGGAACUGAGAAACGGUCAAGAAUAAGACGGGAGGAAGAAGUAGGGAAUAUUAAGAAAUGGGAGAAAGACUGACGGAGAAACGCAGAGUGAGUGAUGAAGGUAUUCUUUUUUU
rnacentral:rRNA from 1 species